UACGAAGGGGGCUAGCGUUGUUCGGAAUUACUGGGCGUAAAGCGCACGUAGGCGGGUCUGUGAGUCGGGGGUGAAAUCCCAGGGCUCAACCCUGGAACUGCCUUCUAGACUGCAGGCCUCGAGGUCAGGAGAGGCGAGUGGAAUACCGAGUGUAGAGGUGAAAUUCGUAGAUAUUCGGUGGAACACCAGUGGCGAAGGCGACUCGCUGGACUGAUACUGACGCUGAGGUGCGAAAGCGUGGGGAGCAAACAGG
rnacentral:rRNA from 1 species